rnacentral:lncRNA from 1 species
GGACCAAAUUAGUUGUCAAUCCAGAGGGUGGAGUUUCUCUCUGCAAACAAUGAAGGCACCCUUUAUUUUCCUUUCCUUGUUAACAGUGCCGCUGUGUGAGUAUCUUCCAGAUAAACAUUUUAAAAAAUCAAAUGUUACAGAUGGACAAAUUGCAUGGUAACCAAAGUCUUGUUGUUUUCUUUAGAUGUCCACUGCAGUGUCCAACUUGUGGAAUCUGGACCAAGGAUUGUGAAUCCUGGAGGGUCCCUGAGACUAACCUGCACUGUCACUGGGGAUUCUGUCAAGAAUAGUUACUGGGAAUGGGUCCGACAGGCUCCCGGAAAAGGACUGGAAUGGAUGGGCCAGAUAGACUGGUAUAGCAGCAACUGGAGAUUAUACUACAGCCCAUCUCUCCAAGGCCGAAUCACCCUGACUGCUGAUGCCUCCAGAAAUACAUACGACCUGGAGCUGAGAUCUGUGACAGCUGCAGACACGGCUAUGUAUUACUGUGCCCGAGA